GGGCCCCGCCCUGCCCCACCCCGGGUGGAGCAGAAUCGUGAGGGGAAAAGCUUGUAAUUACUUUCAGCAUUGGAUACUUUACUGCUACAGAUCUAGUAACUUACUUGACAGAAUACCUGGCACCUGAUAUGAAUGCAUGCAGUUAUCCUGACGCCCAGAACUCACUGCUAGCUACAAGAGCCAUGCAAAGACUAUGGAUUGGUUGAUGGAAACAACUGUGUGGAUACAGAAGCAAUUUCAUUUCUCUGAAGUAUUUGGCUUGGUAUCACAGGGUAUUUUGAUUAAAACCUACAACUGUGUUAGAAGGAAUAAACAACUGUCUCACUUU